rnacentral:rRNA from 1 species
AGAGUUUGAUCCUGGCUCAGAUUGAACGCUGGCGGCAUGCCUUACACAUGCAAGUCGAACGGCAGCACGGGAGCAAUCCUGGUGGCGAGUGGCGAACGGGUGAGUAAUAUAUCGGAACGUACCUUUCAGUGGGGGAUAACGUAGCGAAGGUUACGCUAAUACCGCAUAUUCUGUGAGCAGGAAAGCAGGGGAUCGCAAGACCUUGCGCUGAUUGAGCGGCCGAUAUCAGAUUAGCUAGUUGGUGAGGUAAAGGCUCACCAAGGCGACGAUCUGUAGCGGGUCUGAGAGGAUGAUCCGCCACACUGGAACUGAGACACGGUCCAGACUCCUACGGGAGGCAGCAGUGGGGAAUUUUGGACAAUGGGGGCAA